AGUGAACGCUGGCGGCAUGCCUAAUACAUGCAAGUCGAACGGCAGCACAGUAAGAGCUUGCCCUUACGGGUGGCGAGUGACGGACGGGUGAGGAAUACAUCGGAAUCUACUUUUUCGUGGGGGAAAACGUAGGGAAACUUACGCUAAUACCGCAUACCUUCUACGGGUGAAACCAGGAGUUAUUCGGCGCUUGGGCGUCACCUAGAGCCGAUGUCGGAUUGGCUAGUUGGCGGGGUAAAGGCCCACCAAGGCAACGAACCGUAGCUGGUCUGAGAGGAUGAUCAGCCACACUGGAACUGAGACACGGUCCAGACUCCUACGGGAGGCAGCAGUGGGGAAUAUUGGACAAUGGGCGCAAGCCUGAUCCAGCCAUACCGCGUGGGUGAAGAAGGCCUUCGGGUUGUAAAGCCCUUUUGUUAGGAAAGAAAAACAGCAGGUUAAAACCCCGCUGUUCUGACGGUACCCAAAGAAUAAGCACCGGCUAACUUCGUG
rnacentral:rRNA from 1 species